rnacentral:lncRNA from 1 species
UGGGUGCCAUUGUCCUCUGCAUGGCUGCAGCAUUCUGAUGUCAUGGAGGCAGAAUGAGGAACAGUGGGGGGUCACCCCCUGUGUGGGUAAACCUGCGAGUAGGGAGCAGUGCGAGCAGGAUGUGCAAACAGCACAGGGCAGCAGUUUGGACUGGCAAUUCAUGCAGUGCAGUUGAGCAGGGAAAGCAAGGAAGAAAACCAGGAAUAACGGGCGGGAAGAGGAGGUACAAAACCCACAGGAAAAAGCAGUACCUACCCACACUGGCUGCAUGGUUUUUUGCACUUCUCUAUGAGAAGACUAAUACUUCACUGCUGCCUCUCAUGCUAACAGAAUCCAUCUGCUUGGCCUGAUGCCCAGCUGUUUGCUGCCCAUCACCAUCACCAGGGAUGCAGAUGUGCCUACAUCUCCACUCUUCAGGCUUACUCCCACGAUUCUUAAAAAAACAC